rnacentral:rRNA from 1 species
GGGAUGAACGCUGGCGGCGUGCCUAACACAUGCAAGUCGAGCGUGAUUGGUGUGAGUGGAGACUUCGGUCAAAGCGAUCACCAUGAAAGCGGCGGACGGGUGAGUAACGCGUGGGCAACCUGCCCCAUACACGGGAAUAGCCACUGGAAACGGUGAUUAAUGCUCGAUAAGACCCCAGUGCCACAUGGCACCGAGGCCAAAGAUUAUCGGUAUGGGAUCGGGCCCGCGUCUGA